UUUGAGCAUGCAAUUCGGCUUUUCGUUUCUCCAGUUCUGCAUACGGUUUCAUAGUAAGAUCUCGAACAAAAGCAUCCAUUUCCGUUACAUUAUCCCCUAUACUAUCCAUGUCUUCAAGAUCUUUAAGCUUUCAAGUCAGGUUGUACAGCAAAACAAUUCUUAGUGAAAACGCGUAAAAAAAUCAUUCACAACUAUCUUCUAAAAAAAAGAAACUAAUAGAAUCUAAAAGAGCUACACGUUUGGAUGAAUGCGUUACGAAUAUAAGUACCUUAUGUGUAGUAAGGGUUGGAAAGCACCAGCCUUAAUGUAAGGAUCCAUUCUCGAGUAGAAACUUGCAUCUUCAUCUUGGAACACUGGCUAGAUUUUCCGAUCGUUUUGUUUAAAGGAUUUAAACAAUAUUUAAUUAAAAAAGGUUGAGCAAUAGUAUUCGCAUUUUCUUUGAAUAAAAUAAAGCAAAAGCGCUGCGACAAUUUAAUUUAUUUAACUUUUACAUAAAUCGUAGGCCAAAAAGUUAUGAAUCCAAAAUGGUUAUCCUAGGUAAUGAAAUAGAUUGUGAAUAAGACUGGAUUGAACUGCCUCAUCU